rnacentral:rRNA from 1 species
GACGAACGCUGGCGGCGUGCUUAACACAUGCAAGUCGAGCGGAAAGGCCCUGCUUGCAGGGUACUCGAGUGGCGAACGGGUGAGUAACACGUGGGUGAUCUGCCCUGCACUUCGGGAUAAGCCUGGGAAACUGGGUCUAAUACCGGAUAGGAGCCAUUUUUAGUGUGAUGGUUGGAAAGUUUUUUCGGUGUAGGAUGAGCUCGCGGCCUAUCAGCUUGUUGGUGGGGUAAUGGCCUACCAAGGCGGCGACGGGUAGCCGGCCUGAGAGGGUGGACGGCCACAUUGGGACUGAGAUACGGCCCAGACUCCUACGGGAGGCAGCAGUGGGGAAUAUUGCACAAUGGGCGCAAGCCUGAUGCAGCGACGCCGCGUGGGGGAUGACGGCCUUCGGGUUGGAAACUCCUUUCGCUAGGGACGAAGCUUUUUGUGACGGUACCUAGAGAAGAAGCACCGGCUAACUACGUG